CCCACUUAUUUUUCAUUUCGAUUUUAGGGUUUCUUAUGUCUAUAGUUAGGGUUUUCCAGUUUACUUAUUUCUUUCCUCUGGAUGAUUUACUGCUGAUGUUUUCUUAUCACAGCUUAAGUAAUGGUGAAAGUAUCAGGUGCCGCAAAUGUGUAUCACAAAGUACGAUGGAAAAUUGCUCGAUUUUCUGAUUAGAAUGGACGGAAUUGGAAAGAUCGGAAAACUCAUGCUAGAAGGUGCUACAGAAGGGAAUUUGUGACAAAGAGAAAGUUAGCUCAUGUCACUCCUAGCUUGAGCUCUGAGCGUGUGCAUAGGAGAGAUUCUUUCGAUGCUGCAUAGGUUGUUAGUGGACAGGGGUCUAUUGGACAUCCAGACUCUCACCAGGACACUCCCUCAGAUGGUCGCUCUGUUCGUGGCCGACAUGAUGCAUGUUGAUUUGCUGGACUUUAUAGCUCAUUUGUAUAUCUUUUUAUAUAUGUACAUUUUAGACUUUCAUAUUAUAUAUUCAUGCAUGUAUGAAGUUUCUAGAUUAUACUUUAUACAAUUUGUGUUUGAU